UACGUAGGGGGCGAGCGUUGUCCGGAUUUAUUGGGCGUAAAGAGCUCGUAGGCGGCUUGGCAAGUCGGGUGUGAAACCUCCAGGCUCCAACCUGGAGACGCCACUCGAUACUGCUAUGGCUAGAGUCCGGUAGGGGACCACGGAAUUCCUGGUGGUAAGCGGUGAAAUGCGCAGGAUAAUCAGGAGGAACACCGGUGGCGAAAGGCGGUGGUCUGGGCCGGCACUGACGCUGAGGAGCGAAAGCGUGGGUAGCAAACAGG
rnacentral:rRNA from 1 species